UGGGGGGGUUUUUAGUACGUAGGCACUAAUCAGUGAAUCGUGCAUGCUACUGGCACGGGCCAGUAGUAUCUUUAGAAGAUUUUCCCCCCCA
rfam:Drosophila busckii chromosome 2R sequence.